GCUUGUUCUUCAUUUUCUUGUUCAGAAGCGGAACUGGUAUCAUUAUCUUCCUAAGCAAUGUAGGCUCUCCGUCCAGUCCUUAUUUCGUUCUUUCCUUUGAAGGAGUUCUUUUUCAAGUUUGGACAAUCCAUCUUCAUAUAUCCAAGCUUGCCACAUUCGAAGCAUGUGAAAUUUUGGUUUGAAGUGGAGGAGUUAUUGUUCUUGGUGAAUUUUCUCAUUUGUCCAGUUUUGCCACUCUUGUUCCUUUUAAGGAACUUACUCAACUUCUUUAAAGGAAGACUUAUAUCUUCCAUCUCUUCCAUCUCAGAUUCAUGUUCUGAUCACUCAUAUUUUUCUACUUUUGUCUUGAGAGAAAUAUUCUUCUUUUUCUUUUCUUGCUCUUCAUGUUUUUCAUGUUGGCUGAGUUCUAAUUCAUGUUCCUACAAUUUACCAAACAAAGCAACCAAAGACAUUUUC
rnacentral:lncRNA from 1 species